rnacentral:rRNA from 1 species
GAGUCGUAGCGAAAGCGAGUCCGAUAAGGGCGUGAGUCGCGUGUUCUAGACCCGAAGCGGUGUGAUCUAUCCAUGGCCAGGAUGAAGCGUCGGUAAGACGUCGUGGAGGUCCGAACCCACUUCAGUUGAAAAUGGAGGGGAUGAGUUGUGGAUAGGGGUGAAAGGCCAAUCAAACACCGUGAUAGCUGGUUCUCCCCGAAAUGCAUUUAGGUGCAGCGUUGCGUGGUUCUUGUUGGAGGUAGAGCACUGGAUGGUCUAGGGGGCUUAUCGGCUUACCGAAAUCAGCCAAACUCCGAAUGCUGGCAAGUGUAGCGUGGCAGUGAGACGGCGGGGGAUAAGCUUCGUCGUCGAGAGGGAAACAGCCCAGAUCAUCAGCUAAGGCCCCUAAGUGGUGACUCAGUGGGAAAGGAUGUGGAGUUGCGUAGACAACCAGGAGGUUGGCUUGGAAGCAGCCAUCCUUGAAAGAGUGCGUAAUAGCUCACUGGUCAAGUGAUUCCGCGCCGAUAAUGUAGCGGGGCUUAAGUUAUCCGCCGAAGCUGUGGCAACCUGUGUGGUUGGGUAGGGGAGCGUCGUGUCAGUGGUGAAGCUGCCGGGUGACUGUGUGGUGGAGUUGAUGCGAGUGAGAAUGCAGGCAUGAGUAGCGUGUGACGGGUGGGAAUCCCGUCCGCCGAUUAUCCAAGGGUUCCAGGGUCAAGUUUGUCUGCCCUGGGUGAGUCGGGUCCUAAGGCGAGGCCGACAGGCGUAGUCGAUGGGUAACCAGUUGAUAUUCUGGUACCGGCUUGUCACCGUCCGUGUCGAGGUGUGUGAUGCUAAGCAUGUGAGCUUGUCUUGGGAGUGUUUUUGAUGCUUCUGGGGUGGGUGAGUGUGUGAACCGAUCAUGUAGUAGGCAAGCUGCGGAGGGACGCAGUGAGGUAGCUCAUCCCCGGUGAUGGUUGUCCGGGGCUAAGUGUGUGGACUGUCUGGUAGGUAAAUCCGCUGGGCGUGAAGGUUGAGGCAUGAUGGGGAGCCCAUGGUUGUGGGUGAGUGAGUGAUCCUGUACUGUCGAGAAAAGCUUCGUGAGCGAGGUGGCGGGUCCGCCCGUACCCUAAACCGACACUGGUGGAUAGGUAGAGUAUACCGAGGCGAUCGAGUGAAUCGUGGUGAAGGAACUCGGCAAAAUGCCCCCGUAACUUUGGGAUAAGGGGGACCUGAGCUGUCGUGCACCUGUGCGGUGUGGUGGCGGUGAGGGGCGCAGAGUCCAGGGGGAAACGACUGUUUACCAAAAACACAGGUCCGUGCGAAGUCGUAAGACGAUGUAUACGGACUGACUCCUGCCCGGUGCUGGAAGGUUAAGGGGAACUGUGAGUGUAUGCGUAGCGGUGAACUUAAGCCCCAGUAAACGGCGGUGGUAACUAUAACCAUCCUAAGGUAGCGAAAUUCCUUGUCGGGUAAGUUCCGACCUGCACGAAUGGAGUAACGAUUUCCCUACUGUCUCCACCAUGAACUCGGUGAAAUUGCAUUACGAGUAAAGAUGCUCGUUACGCGCAGCAGGACGGAAAGACCCCGGGACCUUUACUAUAGUUUGGUAUUGGUGAUUGGGACGGUUUGUGUAGGAUAGGUGGGAGACGUUGAUGCGGCCACGCUAGUGGUGGUGGAGUCGUUGGUGAAAUACCACUCUGAUUGUUCUGGUUAUCUCACUGUGGACCGUGAUCCGGUUCAAGGACAGUGCCUGAUGGGUAGUUUGACUGGGGCGGUCGCCUCCUAAAGGGUAACGGAGGCGCCCAAAGGUUCCCUCAGCCUGGUUGGUAAUCAGGUGGUGAGUGUAAGUGCACAAGGGGGCUUGACUGUGAGACUGACAGGUCGAGCAGGGACGAAAGUCGGGACUAGUGAUCUGACGGUGGCUUGUGGAUGCGCCGUCACUCAACGGAUAAAAGGUACCCCGGGGAUAACAGGCUGAUCUUGCCCGAGCGCUCAUAGCGACGGCAUGGUUUGGCACCUCGAUGUCGGCUCGUCGCAUCCUGGGGCUGGAGUCGGUCCCAAGGGUUGGGCUGUUCGCCCAUUAAAGCGGCACGCGAGCUGGGUUCAGAACGUCGUGAGACAGUUCGGUCCCUAUCCGCUGCGCGCGGAGGAAUCUUGAGAAGGGCUGUCUUUAGUACGAGAGGACCGAGACGGACUGACCUCUGGUGUGCCAGUUGUUCUGCCAAGAGCAUGGCUGGUUGGCUACGUCGGGUUGUGAUAACCGCUGAAAGCAUCUAAGCGGGAAGCACGCUUCAAGAUAAGGGUUCCCACAGGAGUGUUCCUGGUAAGGUCCCCGAGAGAUGAUCGGGUUGAUAGGCCAGACGUGGACGCAUCGUAAGGUGUGGAGCUGACUGGUACUAAUAGACCGAGGACUUUCAUAA